rnacentral:misc_RNA from 1 species
GGCCUCUCUGGGGGGAGCAUCCCCUUGCCGAGCACCUUGGUGUAGCCGAACUGCGUGACGUCGAUGACGGGGGCCUUGCCGGCGCCGGCGCCGGCCUCGGCGGGCACCAUGGACCAGAGGCGCUCGACGUUGACGGCGGGGCAGUGGAACCUGUUGCUGAGCCUGUGGAAGUAGCGCAUCCCGACCUUGCCGAAGUAGCCCGGG